CGAAUCCCUAGGUCCCUGUAUGCUCCAAGCAGUGGUGAACAAUUCGGAAUGUAACUCCAGUAUUGGCUCAGUUAGUUGGACUGCCAGCAGCAUGAAUGAGACAUACAUCGCUGUGGCAACAGGACUUGAUGGCCACACACACGAGUGUUUCACAAAUACCAGCUCCUGCACCUGGGACGACCUACACUGUGGUGAGAAGUACACUGUCCAUGUGAUGGCGAGGAAUGGAAACUGCACCGGUCUGCCAAGCAAUGGCUCGCCCAUUCAUACAGGUAUGUGAACUCUCCACCAAUUUUUACCUUAAUCCACCAAUUAAUCUGUUUUUCAGUUACAUGCAAGUUUUCCAGAAAUCAUAAUAAGAUUGUUAAAAUCCUGUUCACAUCCUUCUCCAAAUCCCUAGGUCCCUGUAUGCCCAUGGCAGUGGUGACCAAUUCGGAAUGUAACUCCAGUAUUGGUUUGGUUAGUUGGACCGCCAGCAAUAUAAAUCAGACAUACCUUGCUGUGGCAACAGGACUUGAUGGCCACAACCACGAGUGUGUCACAAAUACCAGCUCCUGCACCUGGGACGACCUACACUGUGGUGAGGAGUACACUGUCCAAGUGAUGGCGAGGAAUGGAAACUGCACUAGUCUGCCAAGCAAUGGCCCUAUCAUUCAUAUGGGUCCUUGUAUGCUCCAAGCAGUGGUGACCAAUUCGGAAUGUAACUCCAGUAUUGGCUCAGUUAGUUGGACUGCCAGCAGCAUGAAUGAGACAUACAUCGCUGUGGCAACAGGACUUGAUGGCCACACACACGAGUGUUUCACAAAUACCAGCUCCUGCACCUGGGACGACCUACACUGUGGUGAGAAGUACACUGUCCAUGUGAUGGCGAGGAAUGGAAACUGCACCGGUCUGCCAAGCAAUGGCUCGCCCAUUCAUACAGGUAUGUGAACUCUCCACCAAUUUUUACCUUAAUCCACCAAUUAAUCUGUUUUUCAGUUACAUGCAAGUUUUCCAGAAAUCAUAAUAAGAUUGUUAAAAUCCUGUUCACAUCCUUCUCCAAAUCCCUAGGUCCCUGUAUGCCCAUGGCAGUGGUGACCAAUUCGGAAUGUAACUCCAGUAUUGGUUUGGUUAGUUGGACCGCCAGCAAUAUAAAUCAGACAUACCUUGCUGUGGCAACAGGACUUGAUGGCCACAACCACGAGUGUGUCACAAAUACCAGCUCCUGCACCUGGGACGACCUACACUGUGGUGAGGAGUACACUGUCCAAGUGAUGGCGAGGAAUGGAAACUGCACUAGUCUGCCAAGCAAUGGCCCUAUCAUUCAUAUGGGUAUGAGAC
rnacentral:lncRNA from 1 species